CGCCCUUCUGCGGGACCGAUGCCGCCCUUGGGAAGCAGGCAGGAAACGCCCCAAACCAGCGGGAGACCAGCGGGAAAAGAACCAUCUGAACCCCACACUGCUCCAAAACACCACUGGAGGAAAUGGAGACAGGAGGAAGGGGUUUGUGUUCAUCCCCACCCGGCUGAGAUAAUCAGAAGUGGACAGCGAGCUGGCUAGCCCACAGAAAGGGGUCUACAUACAUAUGCUCUUAUAUACAAAACGAUGACUCUGGUGUCCCGAAGGAAAGAAAAAUAAAAGCAACAGCAAGAACAG